GCCACGGAAGUCUAGCGGUUAGAACGCUGGCCUUGUAAUCCUGGGGUCUCGGGUUCGAUUCCCGGCGGUGCCC
rfam:Zootermopsis nevadensis contig31213, whole genome shotgun sequence.